UACGAAGGGGGCUAGCGUUGCUCGGAAUGACUGGGCGUAAAGGGCGCGUAGGCGGCUUGCACCGUCAGAUGUGAAAUUCCCGGGCUCAACCUGGGGGCUGCAUUUGAUACGUAUGGACUUGAGUGGGGAAGAGGGUCGUGGAAUUCCCAGUGUAGAGGUGAAAUUCGUAGAUAUUGGGAAGAACACCGGUGGCGAAGGCGGCGACCUGGUCCUCGACUGACGCUGAGGCGCGAAAGCGUGGGGAGCAAACAGG
rnacentral:rRNA from 1 species